rnacentral:lncRNA from 1 species
GAUUUGAACAUCUUAGAAACUGUUCACUUACACUUUCAUUUAGAUUAGUAAGUCACCAAAACCAAAAUAAUAGUCCCAUAUACUACAUUGUUUCUUUCACUGAUUGCAAUUACAAUGACAUAACAUAUCCCAUACAAAACUGGUCCAUACACCCUCUACCUCCCUAUGUUCAGAAUUUUCGUCACCACCUUCCAUUUUCUGUGAACAGAAUGUGACAUGGUCAAAUAAAAAAUAGUACACAGUAGCUAAACUACACAGCAAAUAAAAUAAGUAAACAAAAAAGACAAAGACAAAGCAAUGACAUGUAUGCAGGUAGUCUAGAUUACUGGGAGGUACUGAGUUUGACAUGGUAGAGUACAGUGUUAAGACUAUGCAAGCAUGGAGGAAAUGUAGAUAUGAGUUUAACUAAUAUUGUUAUAUAUAAGGGAAAAAAAACAAGUAAACAAGAGCAAAAACUACCCAGCACAUAAACUUAGUAAAUGAGCUAAAUGGCAGCAUAACAUCCAACAAAAGGAGCCAUCAUCAGGUAAGAUACUACCAAUAUAAAUAUCCAUACCAAUUUAAUCUUUCUAAAAACACAUCUUGAGAUUUUCUGUAAACUAUCAUGUUUUUUUCUAGUCCAUUUAAAUAGGUUGUAUGCUUAUAUAUCUAUAAUGGAAUUGGAAGAAAACCAAAUGCUAGGCAUCACCAUUGCCAAAACAACUUCCAGACCUAUCGCUAUCGUACUGAGAUUUUGGGGCUACCAUUACCAAAACAACUUCGACCUGUAAUCCACAACUCAACUACAAUUUAUAGUAUGUUCAAAUCCAUAAUCUGAGAUAUAACAUUUGUUACGCAUCAAAACACCCCGUCAAAAGAACUUGCUGGUGACAAAUGCAACUUAAUUAAGACAGAUUGACAACUAGUUAAAUCAUACACAAACUAUAGCUAUCAUGAUAUCAGCACAAACCUAUUUUCCAGGAAUGAUAUUGAUCACUGUUGUGCUAUCAUGAUAUGAUUGUCCCCCCCUUUUUUUUUUUUUUUUAAAUUCUUGUUUCAGAAACUCAAUUACAAAUGCUACAUCCUUAAGAUU